CCCUUUAUUUGCUAUCGGACGGACAUACACCGAACGCCAACGGCCUAUAUGUGUUUCACCGAACCAAGCAUUCCACCAAACCGUUGUGUUCUAUCUGUGUUGCUUUUGCUUUUCAGUAAUUGGGAAUUGUCGUAACGCUCACCGCUAACGGAGCAUUGCGGUUUUCUAUGUUUAUAUGUUUAUUAUUUUCUAUCAGGUGCUGAUAGGUAAAAUCUAACCACCGAACAGUUUUGACUUAGUUAUGAUUCUGUUUUGUCACCAUUACCACGUAGCCAUGUGAAUAAAGAGGGAGAGGUAAGGAUUACAACGAAAAAGGUUUUGAAACAAAUACUUAAGUAUAUCAUAUGUACAUGAAAAAAGUAUGUUAAUUUGUAUGCAUAUACGUGAAUAAAUUACAAAAAAAAAUUAAGAAUUUAUAAAGUAUACCAUACAUGCAUAUGGGGAUAUGAACAACAAACAUUGACAACAUUAAAUUACUAAAUAGAAAAUGUGCGUGGAACUCGAGACCAGUAAUUAUAGAGUUAAACUAAAUUCUGCGUUGCACAAUGUGUCAAUUUUGGGUGCAACUGAUUGGAUGUCGCUGUUGCGGUCAACUUAGAAAGUACGGAUCAAAAGGUGAAGCAAAUCAUAAAAAACAGCGAUUUGACAAAAAAAACUUCGCCAUUUCAAUCGCUUAAGCCGACAUGCCGCAUACUGCAACCACAUUUGACUAAAAGAGACAACACUACAAUCUAAUAUGUGAAUCGAAGAAAAGCAACAAUAUGUAUGAAAAUCUAAAAUGGAAACAAAGAUUACUUUUAAGGUUAUAAUUUCAGUAGUCUUUUAAAGAAAACUUUAAAAUAAUUGAAAAUUACAUACAUCCAAAAUGUGUAAAUAGCAGAAAAUAUUCACUUAAGCAAUUAAAUUUAGUAAACAUUGUAAUAAAUAAAUACUUAAUCUUAUCUGUCAUACGA